rnacentral:rRNA from 1 species
AGAGUUUGAUCCUGGCUCAGGAUAAACGCUGGCGGCGUGCCUUAUGCAUGCAAGUCGUACGGUUCUUCCCGAAAGGGAAGAAUAGUGGCAAACGGGUGAGUAACACGCAGGUAACCUGCCCCUAAGAGGGGGAUAACUCCGGGAAACUGGGGCUAAUACCGCAUGUGGUCCUUCAUCGUAAGAUGUGAGACUGAAGUUCCGACUUUGUCGGGGCGCUUGGGGAGGGGCCUGCGUCCGAUUAGCUAGUUGGUGGGGUAAUGGCCUACCAAGGCGAUGAUCGGUAGCUGGUCUGAGAGGACGACCAGCCACACGGGGACUGAGAUACGGCCCCGACUCCUACGGGAGGCAGCAGCAAGGAAUUUUGCGCAAUGGGCGAAAGCCUGACGCAGCAACGCCGCGUGGGGGAUGACAGCCUUCGGGUCGUAAACCCCUUUUCUCAGGGAGGAAUAAUGACAGUACCUGAGGAAUAAGUCAUGGCUAACUACGUGCCAGCAGCCGCGGUAAUACGUAGGUGGCGAGCGUUGUCCGGAAUUACUGGGCGUAAAGGGCCCGCAGGCGGCACAUUAAGUCAGGUGUGAAAUCUCCCGGCUCAACUGGGAGGGGACAUUUGAAACUGAUGAGCUUGAGGACAGCAGGGGGAAGCGGAACUCCCGGUGUAGCGGUGAUAUGCGUAGAUAUCGGGAGGAACACCAGUGGCGAAGGCGGCUUCCUGGGCUGUUUCUGACGCUGAGGGGCGAAAGCGUGGGGAGCAAACAGGAUUAGAGACCGUGGUAGUCCACGCCGUAAACGAUGAGUGCUAGAUGUUGGGGAGCUUAACUCUUCG